rnacentral:rRNA from 1 species
UACGUAGGGUGCGAGCGUUGUCCGGAAUUACUGGGCGUAAAGAGCUCGUAGGUGGUUUGUCGCGUUGUCCGUGAAAACUCACAACUCAAUUGUGGGCGUGCGGGCGAUACGGGCAGACUGGAGUACUGCAGGGGAGACUGGAAUUCCUGGUGUAGCGGUGGAAUGCGCAGAUAUCAGGAGGAACACCGGUGGCGAAGGCGGGUCUCUGGGCAGUAACUGACGCUGAGGAGCGAGAGCGUGGGGAGCGAACAGG